GACGAACGCUGGCGGCGUGCUUAACACAUGCAAGUCGAACGGAAAGGCCCUGCUUUUGUGGGGUGCUCGAGUGGCGAACGGGUGAGUAACACGUGAGUAACCUGCCCUUGACUUUGGGAUAACUUCAGGAAACUGGGGCUAAUACCGGAUAGGAGCUCCUGCUGCAUGGUGGGGGUUGGAAAGUUUCGGCGGUUGGGGAUGGACUCGCGGCUUAUCAGCUUGUUGGUGGGGUAGUGGCUUACCAAGGCUUUGACGGGUAGCCGGCCUGAGAGGGUGACCGGCCACAUUGGGACUGAGGUACGGCCCAGACUCCUACGGGAGGCAGCAGUGGGGAAUAUUGCACAAUGGGCGGAAGCCUGAUGCGGCGACGCCGCGUGCGGGAUGACGGCCUUCGGGUUGUAAACCGCUUUCGCCUGUGACGAAGCGUGAGUGACGGUAAUGGGUAAAGAAGCACCGGCUAACUACGUG
rnacentral:rRNA from 1 species